GAGUUUGAUCUUGGCUCAGAACGAACGCUGGCGGCAGGCCUAACACAUGCAAGUCGAGCGCUGUAGCAAUACAGAGCGGCGCACGGGUGAGUAACACGUGGGAACGUGCCCUUUGGUUCGGAAUAACCCAGGGAAACUUGGGCUAAUACCGGAUGAGCCCUAACGGGGAAAGAUUUAUCGCCGAAGGAGCGGCCCGCGUCGGAUUAGCUAGUUGGUGGGGUAAAAGCCUACCAAGGCAACGAUCCGUAGCUGGUUUGAGAGAACGACCAGCCACACUGGGACUGAGACACGGCCCAGACUCCUACGGGAGGCAGCAGUGGGGAAUCUUGGACAAUGGGGGAAACCCUGAUCCAGCCAUGCCGCGUGAGUGAUGAAGGCCCUAGGGUUGUAAAACUCUUUCGGCGGGACGAUAAUGACGGUACCCGCAGAAGAAGCUCCGGCUAACUUCGUGCCAGCCGCCGCGGUAAU
rnacentral:rRNA from 1 species